GAGCUUCCGUUGAAUGACGUGCUUGCACUGAUUUCAACAAUGAAGCGAGUGGCGAACUGGUGAGUAACACGUGGGGAAUCUGCCCAGAAGCAGGGGAUAACACUUGGAAACAGGUGCUAAUACCGUAUAACAACAAAAUCCGCAUGGAUUUUGUUUGAAAGGUGGCUUCGGCUAUCACUUCUGGAUGAUCCCGCGGCGUAUUAGUUAGUUGGUGAGGUAAAGGCCCACCAAGACGAUGAUACGUAGCCGACCUGAGAGGGUAAUCGGCCACAUUGGGACUGAGACACGGCCCAAACUCCUACGGGAGGCAGCAGUAGGGAAUCUUCCACAAUGGACGAAAGUCUGAUGGAGCAAUGCCGCGUGAGUGAAGAAGGGUUUCGGCUCGUAAAACUCUGUUGUUAAAGAAGAACACCUUUGAGAGUAACUGUUCAAGGGUUGACGGUAUUUAACCAGAAAGCCACGGCUAACUACGUGCCAGCAGCCGCGGUAAUACGUAGGUGGCAAGCGUUGUCCGGAUUUAUUGGGCGUAAAGCGAGCGCAGGCGGUUUUUUAAGUCUGAUGUGAAAGCCUUCGGCUUAACCGGAGAAGUGCAUCGGAAACUGGGAGACUUGAGUGCAGAAGAGGACAGUGGAACUCCAUGUGUAGCGGUGGAAUGCGUAGAUAUAUGGAAGAACACCAGUGGCGAAGGCGGCUGUCUAGUCUGUAACUGACGCUGAGGCUCGAAAGCAUGGGUAGCGAACAGGAUUAGAUACCCUGGUAGUCCAUGCCGUAAACGAUGAGUGCUAAGUGUUGGAGGGUUUCCGCCCUUCAGUGCUGCAGCUAACGCAUUAAGCACUCCGCCUGGGGAGUACGACCGCAAG
rnacentral:rRNA from 2 species